CGGGCGGACAUUAACUUCUGCAGCACCCCUUUGGAAGCAUGUGUUCUCCGGGCGGACCUGCGCGACUGCAAAUCUCUGCUUUUAAUAUGGCUGUGAAGCGCCACACGUUUAUAUCUACUUAUCAUUAUAAUGGUUCAGGCGGUUAAAGAGAAAUUCGUUUUAAAUUAUUAAAGCGCGAAAAUCAUGCGCGUACGAGCACCGAGACAAGGCCGCGCCGGCGAGGAAAGUCACAUGAGCUGGUGAUGAACUGGGAUUGAGGAGAUUGCAUAUCCACACGUGGACCUGCAGAUGAAGGCCUGCUGAGACGCUGUUCACGGUUGUGAAAUAAAUCUCUGCCUGAACAACACAGCGUCGGGCUGUGAGGUGGACCAGGUAAAUCACAGGAGAAAUGGUGACUUAUAAUACCUGCACAUCCUGAUUAUUUAUUGAUCUGUAGAUGUAAAAAUGGCUGAAUAAAGCAUUGUUUUUAAACCA